rnacentral:lncRNA from 1 species
CAGCCCCAGCUCUGGUGCUUCUAGAUAGCUGGUGAACCUCUGUGCGCCUCCGUCUCCUCGCUUACAGAGGUAAUAGUGCUUGCCUCAUUUGGGUGUUAUGAGGAUGAGGGGAAAAGGACCAACCCUGUGCGAUGCUGGGAUGUGGCCAGCACCCUGGAGGCAGCCCUAGAAAACUCCCUCCCACCAGCAGCCUAGAGUCCACAGCAUUCCCACGGUGCCCGGGGCCGGGCUCCCCCGUCCCAUUGCCCUGCCAUCCUGGGGCAUCACCCUCACCUGGGUGACUGAGGGGCAACAGCCCCACAUCCGUGCUGCAGGUGGAGGGAGUGGGAAAUGAGAGCGGAUGGCAAGCAGCCUCCUCCAUGAGGACGAGUCAAGAGGAGAGGGCGUCUCUGCACACCCCCCUGCCACCCCAGCUGCAGCCCCGCUGACACUCGUUGGCCAGGUUCCAUUGCUGAAAGGAGUUAGGGGAGUCUGGACACCAUGGGACAGUUGGCAGACUCAGCCCCAGGGUGUAAAACACAAAGCAGCUGUCAUCUCGGGGCCAAGGUUUGCUUUGCGAAAGAAGCAGAGAUGAAGGCCACGUGGAAGCCUCUGUUCGCUUCGUGCACACGAUUCUGCACCCACAAACAGCCACGGUGCUAGGGGUUUCCACAUGGUGUCCCCUUGACGCUCACAGAACUCCGGGGAGGCUGUGAGGUCACCCCAUUUUCUGGAUGAACCUCACAGUGGGAGAGGGAUUUGUCACGGUCACACAGUCCAAGCAUGUAAGAGAAGAGGUGCCUUCAGGACUGGCACCCAGGCGUCACUCCUGUCCCCCACUCCCUCUGCAGAAGCCCCUCAAGCCCACCGUGUGCCUGUUGACUUUCGCCCUGUGCAGCCUGCUCCAGCUCCUGGUGCUGUGCUGCGUGUACCAUGCGUGCCCCUGUGGCAACGAGUCACCGACUCAUCUCGUUUCCUUCCCGUGCAGAUGCUUCGGGUAGCAGCCCAGCGCUCUUCACUGGACUGAAGGCACCUCUUCUCUUUAGAGAGAGAACAUUUUCAAAGGUUAAGCCUAAAAAUCAGGACAGAUUUUACUUUGUUAUUGUUGUUUCUUGAGGCCUAAUUUUUAAAAAGCCUGUGUGCUGGCUGCUGAUGGCCUUGAUGAGAAAGUGGCCGUCAAUUAAACAGACAAGGGGGAACCGAGGAAUCCAGGUCAGCACGAUUUCCUGAUCUGUGGCAGUGACUGUGACCUGACUGGACUUGAGCUGGAACUUCAAAUAACACCAUUAGGUCCUAAUCAUAUCAGAGGUGAUCUAACAUGACUUCCCACACCAUCCCCUUUCAAAGAUGCAAGUCACAUGGGCACGUCUGUAAAAUGCUGAAGGCUGCACCGUGUGAGCUGCACAAAUUCAAAGUUUUCUGACUUUGCCAGCCCAGUAACACUGCCAGGUGCCAGCUUGUGGCAUUUCUGUCAGAAACCCAGCUGGCAUGAAAGUGGGUUUUUCAUCCAGCCUGGAGUAGCCCCCUGCAUUCAGAAAUUCUUUGCCUGACUACAGAAGUCUAAAUCAGGACUCACUUUCCCCCGAGCUAGAGGAGGAGGAAUGUGAAGCCUUGGAAAGAGUCGGCACCAUUCUGGGAGUCAGAUUAGUACACCCCAAGAAAGGGAGAGUGGCUGGGCCAGCUGCGACACAGUCCCCAACCGCUACCCGUUCCUCCACCGCCCACCAAGCCCAGAGCAGCCUCCCUCAGCCAGAAGACAGCUUGGAGGAUGGAAGACUGUUCAACUUGUGGCUUAAGCACAUUAUUAAAACCAAAGAGGAAAAUUCUUUGAAGAGAUGGGGUGGAGCUGAAUUUAAGAGAAAUAAUAAAAACCAUGACCAGGUU